rnacentral:rRNA from 1 species
AAACCGUUCAGGGGUAAACCUGAGAAACCCAAAAGAUCGAAUGAGGAGACUCAUCGUCAGCGGCUUUGGCUUUCGUGUGGUUAUGUGAUGUCAGAGACUUCGGUUUCACGGCACGCUAUCACUGCGAUAUGUCCGAAGUCGUCGAUGUGCACUUCUCCUCUAGUAGGACGUCGCGACCCGUUGUGUGUCGGUUUACGGUAUGGGUGAUUGCCUGUUCCGUCGCAUUCACGUGUGUACGGGUCAGAUCCUCAUUAACCUAACCGACUGCUCGGCGGUACUCGCAAGGUAUAGAGUCGCACUUUGUGCGUCAGGCCCGUCGCAAGCAUUAACAGUGUUCCUGGAGGUGCGGACCUAGUGCCGUCCCCAGGCCUGUUGAGCUGUUGGUCGACGGUGUUCUCUGACUGGCUCGUCUCAUUUUUUUGAAUACCGGUCGGCGACGCUACUGCUUUGGGUACUUUCAGGA